GAUGAACGCUGGCGGCGUGCCUAAUACAUGCAAGUCGAGCGAACAGACGAGGAGCUUGCUCCUCUGACGUUAGCGGCGGACGGGUGAGUAACACGUGGAUAACCUACCUAUAAGACUGGGAUAACUUCGGGAAACCGGAGCUAAUACCGGAUAACAUGUUGAACCGCAUGGUUCAACAGUGAAAGACGGUCUUGCUGUCACUUAUAGAUGGAUCCGCGCCGCAUUAGCUAGUUGGUAAGGUAACGGCUUACCAAGGCAACGAUGCGUAGCCGACCUGAGAGGGUGAUCGGCCACACUGGAACUGAGACACGGUCCAGACUCCUACGGGAGGCAGCAGUAGGGAAUCUUCGGCAAUGGGCGAAAGCCUGACGGAGCAACGCCGCGUGAGUGAAGAAGGUCUUCGGAUCGUAAAACUCUGUUAUUAGGGAAGAACAAAUGUGUAAGUAACUAUUCACGUCUUGACGGUACCUAAUCAGAAAGCCACGGCUAACUACGUG
rnacentral:rRNA from 1 species